UAACAGCAGGGGUAGCAUUGCACCUCUGAGGAGUGGCCACGAGAGGGCAGCAGCAGCCAGGAUCUGGGCUGCCCCCUGCUUCCAGGUCAAGGAGGGUGGGGCUGGGAGAUUGGCCAGAACCUCGCCCUGCUGGGCCUGGCGGAACUUGGACGGCCUCCAGUGUCCCUCCCUGCUGCUUGUGGUCACUGGUCCUUGGCCUGCCCCAUCCAAGGAGUCUACUCUGCUCUCCUGAGACCAAGGUUUUUUGCCUGGCUGGUUCCACUCCAACCCCUCCUCCAAUCCCUGGGGCCACUGGGUACCCAGCUCUGCCCUCUCCUGCCCUGAUGCUGAUGCUGGUCUCGCCAUGAUGCCUGGGGUGUGCCCCUCUGCCACCGCCACACCUGGUCCUCCUCCCUGCUUUUGAUUAAGCAAAGAGAACCCCGCUCAGACUCUCUGGGAAGCCCUUCGCCAGCACUCCCUCACCUGGAAGUGGUUUGCUGUCUGGACCUCACCGCCUCUGUUCCUGCACAGACUUCUGCUUUUGCCUUGAGUGCGUUACCUUUUCUCCCCCACUGUAUUGUGACUUCACAAAGAACAUGUAUAUUUUACACACUUGUAGCUCAGCCCCGAAAAAAGGAUCUAACGGAAGUGAAA